rnacentral:other from 1 species
AUUAUCCCAAAGUGUUCGUUUUUACUUUAUUUUUGAACCUACAUCAAUACUCAGGGAGUCUGAUUGUUCGCUAGCAGAUGUUAAACUAGAGACAAGACACCCACCUAGCUUUCGCUAGGGCGUCAAAAAUGGAGUACGACACAUUGGGAUAGCA